rnacentral:rRNA from 1 species
AACGAACGCUGGCGGCAUGCCUAACACAUGCAAGUCGAACGAAGCCUUCGGGCUUAGUGGCGCACGGGUGCGUAACACGUGGGAAUCUGCCCUUCGGUUCGGAAUAACAGUUAGAAAUGACUGCUAAUACCGGAUGAUGACGUAAGUCCAAAGAUUUAUCGCCGAAGGAUGAGCCCGCGUAGGAUUAGGUAGUUGGUAGGGUAAUGGCCUACCAAGCCGACGAUCCUUAGCUGGUCUGAGAGGAUGAUCAGCCACACUGGGACUGAGACACGGCCCAGACUCCUACGGGAGGCAGCAGUGGGGAAUAUUGGACAAUGGGCGAAAGCCUGAUCCAGCAAUGCCGCGUGAGUGAUGAAGGCCUUAGGGUUGUAAACUGCUUUUGUACAGAACGAAAAGCUCUUUCUAAUACAGAGAGUCCAUGACGGUACUGUAAGAAUAAGCACCGGCUAACUACGUG